rnacentral:rRNA from 1 species
AUCCCGGGCUACACACGUGCUACAAUGGCAGGUACAGAGGGCUGCGAAGCCGCGAGGUGGAGCGAAUCCCAGAAAACCUGUCUCAGUCCGGAUUGAAGUCUGCAACUCGACUUCAUGAAGGCGGAAUCGCUAGUAACCGCGAAUCAGCAGGUCGCGGUGAAUACGUUCCCGGGCCUU